AUCUUUUCAGAGAGAGAAGGAAGAAGGAAGAUUAUCGUGAUGGCCUCAUUUCGGUACCCAAGGGGUGAAGGAAAGGGUGAAAGAGAGAAAUGUACAAUGGUAAGGACGUGCCCCCCUACUGAUUCAUUAUCACAUGGCUUUCUCAAACACUCAGCUGAAAAAGGUCAAGUUGGCCCUGGCAGAGGAGCAGUUCAGUGGCAGAGGCACAAAAUGACUGCGGAGCAAUCCAUUCAAUGCCACUACAAGAAUUAAAAUGGCUUUAUAAAGGCCCAAAUGGGCAAGUCAACCUGAAGCAUUUAUUGCCCAUUACUAGGGUCUCCUGGCGGAAAGAAUAUAUUGUGAAAAGAAGAAGGAAAAACCCCCUCCACAGUCUGUAAAAUGGAGCUGCGCCAAAAAUUUGGUUGCAUGAAUGUGCAAAAUGUUAUUAAUUCCAAAAUAUCAGGGGGGUUAAAACCGUACAAGCUACAACCUAGCAUAAAGGUUCUUAUAAUGGACUUGUGGAGGCACAUUUAUCCACAUUCUGAUUUUAGUGGUUUCAGAGUUCUUUGAAACUAGAAAUAAUCUCAUUUCCGAAUGUCUAGUCACUUAUUAAAGAUCCAACUUGGAAAAAUGAGAGUGAAUUCAAAUGCAGGACGAAAAUAAAAAGAACAUGAAAACCUC